UUUCUAAAAUAUUAUUUAUACUAUUGGAAUCGAUCUUUUUGGAUGUCUCAUAAUUUAACGUAAAUCCUUUUAUUUUACAAACAACUUUAUCCGUAUCAUAAUAUACAACCGCCUCUCCCAAUUUAUCUAACAUUUCAUAUAAUCUUAAUCUGGCGUUUGCUGUUGUAAAAGCAGCUAUGAAUUAUUGGUACUAAAAUCAUUUUCAACAUAAUAAUCUUUAUAUUUAUAGCUAAUUUGUAACAUUGUAUCGUUUAUAUCAUUUAACUGAAUUUUAUCAAGUCUAUCAUCUAAUAAAAUUUCGUAAAAUCUCUUAACAUCUGUAACAUAUUCUGUUGAUCCCAUAUUUUGUCUCUGACCAAAUUUACCCCAUAAGUUUACUAAACAAGAUUUUGCUACAGCUCUCUUACCAGGAUUGUUUUCUAUUUCACCUAAUUCUAUGCCUAGUUUUUCCUUUACCACUUUUCUAUAUUCAUCUUCCGUUUCAAAAUCAUCUUGCCAUGGGCUUGUCUCUAGUUUUAUUUUCAUAAAUGCCUUUACAUAUUCUUUAAAUAAAUCAUUUGAUUCUUCAUAAAAGUUCCAAYCUUCAUCAAUAUUUAUUAUUUUAUACCCUUUUUCUAUUGCUUUUUUUACCUCGUUUGAACACCAUGUUCCGCCCCCGAUUUUCAAGGGUAAGCAGAAAAGCAAAACAAUCAUGAGAACACCCCCGAUUUUAAGGUAUAUUUUAAAAUUAACAUUUUUAAGGAAAAGCACCCAGAUUUUCAAGGGUAAACUGAAAAGCAGAAAAACUCGUGAAAACACCGCGAUUUUAAGGUACAUUUUAAAAUUAACAUUUUUCAAAGAUUUUACUCUCUUGUAUUUGAAUUUACCGCCGUGAUUAAGUUGGUACUAGUUAUAUUGGUAAGCCUGAUUACCUUGGAGUUUUUGACUUCCUGCCAAUGCUCGUUCGUCGUUUAGUUCCAGCUUCCAGCAGUCUUCGUACACGUGCUCGCACAUGGUCUGCAAGUAAGAGUUGAAAUUGAAAAGAAAAUGAGUAAAAGAAGUAGUUUGCAACUCAACGAAAGCCCGGAAAUUCCACAUACAGUUACAGUUAGUAUAGCAAAUUCGCCCAACAAGAGAGUCAGGACAGAGACCACUGCUUUUAAAGAAAAAUUCGGGAAAGUGUCCCAGCUUGCUGAAAAAGAAAAAGUGGUAAUACUUGCUAACACCCUGUAUAAUAUGGAAACGUCAAUUCAAGCAGUUCAAGACUCAAUCAAUCGCCUUGAAAGUAACAUUCGCAAGAUAAUAAGGGAGGAAGUAACAAGUAUUGUAAAAAAUGAAAUUCAAAAUGGAUUUAAAAAUCUCAAAAUUGUUUAUGAGGAAAAUUAAUGUUCUGUUAACUUAUUGAUAUAUAAUAAUAAUGAUUUUUAUAACAAAUCUUCAGUUAGUUUCCAGUUGAUUUAUUAUUAAUUAACAACGAAAAGGAUUAGAAUCCAAAUGGUAUUGUAUCAAAGUCUUCUAAAAUAACUCUCUUGUCAUAAUUUUUCGUCAUUUACUUUAAAACACAUAGUAGAAAUACCGUUUUCAUUUAAAUUCAAAGUUAUUUUAUUAUCCAUUUAUAUAAAAAAUUAUUUAAGUUUAUUUAGUAUAUAAGAGAAAAUUAUUUUAUUCUUCAAUUAUUUCAAUGUCACAGUCAUUAUCUAAUUGUUUCGAUGACCGCCAGUGAAAUUUAGUUCUUUUUAGAUAUACAGUUUUAUUUAAAGAAAGUAACUUUUUAAUAUUAUUAAUUAAUUCAUCUGUUGUCGGAUCAUCUCUAUUUAUAUCUGUUACACAUAAACACAAACUCAAAAUAUCCAUAUGUUCAUAUGAAUCUAGAAAAAACGUUACUCCAUUGUAAUAUUCAGAUCUAGAUCUUUCAACACUGUUAAUUCUAUAUUCUCUAUUAAGAUCUAAAUCAUACAAUUCAACUUCCCACAUUUAUUAAAUAAAAAAUAGUUAUUUAAGCUUAUUUAGUAAAAUCAUAAUUUUAUCUAUAAUGCUACAUUUAAUUCCAAAAAUAGAUAAAUUAAAUUUAUACGAUUUUGUCGUUUGCAAAAAUUCAUGAUAUUCGUAGUAAUUAUUGUCUUUAAAGAAAUAAAUUUUUCCAUUAAUAUAUCUAAAAGCUUUGUCAACAUUAGAAGGAAUACUAGAAAACAAUUCAACUAUCAUACCAUGUUUCUUAGGUCUAAACAGACAUUCAUCAAAUUCUAUAAACAUUGUGUUGUCAUAAAAUAUAUAAGUUUGACCAGAAUAAGUACUAAAUAUUGCAUUAAUUUUCUUUCCACUAGGAACACCCAAACUUGUGAUAGAUCUUCCAUUAUAACCGUUUUUAACAACGAAACUAGGAAAACAAAAUAGUUCCAUCUGGUCUCUGAUAAAUAUGUGAUAUUUCUUGAAAAUUAUCUGGUAAAAAAGUUAAAUAAUCUGUAAUUAAUUUUGGUUUAUUAUCAUAGCUCAUGUCUUUUAAAUUAACAAUCCAGACAUAUUUCUUGUAGAAAAUAUAUAAUUUAUGAUUUGCUAUUAAAAAUGUGUUAAUAGUUUCACUUAAGCUGCAUAAAUCAGGUAAUGAAUCAGUCUUUCUAGGAGUCAAAGUAAUAGGUUUUUUAGUUGUGGUAGAUGUAGUAGUUGUGGUAGUUGUAGUUGGUAUUGAUUCAUAUUUUGACCGUUCAGAUAUUCCAUAUAACUAUUGAAUUGCCCAAAUAUCAUCUUGCGUUAAUUUAUCACCAUCUCCUUUUUAAUAAGCAUACAUAAUUGCUUUAUCAUUGGCAGAAUGUUCAAUACCUAAAGUAUGUCCAAUCUCAUGCAAUAAUACCGUAUAAAAAUUUGUUUGUCCGUCAGGGGUAUUACCUAGUUCUCCAAAAUACCAGUUUUCUGAUUUAUCAAAAUGAAUUCCUCGACAUUCAUCAUUAUUUGGAAAGAAUCCAUGUGCUAAAAUAUUAGCUUUCCCAUCGAAACUGUUAGAACAUACUCCUUUUUGACACCGGGAAUUAUGAUUAUGUUGAAACGGCAUAUUAGCAAAUGAAAUAAGUAUAUCUGGUUUAUUACUAUUAAACUCAAAUUUUAAUUUUGAAACCGAUUCCCAUUGAUCAAAUGCUUUUUGUGCUAAUUCUUUCAUUUCGUUUGUUGCUAACGAAAAAUACCAUUUAAGAUUUGUUUUAGACCAUUUGUUAGUGUGAACUCUAUAAGCAGUUGGAUUAUCUCUAACACCACAUCUAGGAGUAUUAAUCAAAGCAAGUGUUUCUUGAUUUAAUGUUCCAUCAGCAGCUAUUAAUGGUCCAUUAGUGUCUAGUCGCAGACCUGAGUCAGCUCCAGCUGACGCUAAAUACCCAAAUUUUUCUAAAUAAUUAUUAAUAUUAACAUCGCCUUCGGUUCUGGGCUGGCCGUGCCAGACAACAUAUGAACUUUUUACAGUAGUGAGAAAUAAGAAAAGAAUAAUAUAGUUCAUUUAUUAGAGUAAAUAUCAAAUUAAACAAUUGGAAUAUCUUAAAAAAUAAUUGUCUUAUUUAAUUAUUUACUAUGUGAAACACUUCAUGAGUCGAAGACGAAUUUAAUUUCCGUUUAAGCGGACUUUUUCUAGGUAUUUCUCUCUGGGAAAAUAAUUAAAAUUACUGACAAAUUCCUCUUCACGUAAAUUUAUUUAUUUUUCAUUUAUUUUAUCAGUCUUAUAUAAAUGCAAUAACUGUCUAUAAAAUUUAUAAAUUAACUUAUAUUCUUCAAUUCUUUCUGAUAUUUUUAAUCUCUUAUCUAAUAUUUCUAUUACCCCUGCACCAAGAGAUAAACAAACUAAUGGAGGUAGGGCUAACGAAGAUAAUCCCGAUGCACUAAAUAAUAAUUUACUAAUAGAUAAGCCGAUUCCAAUUUUAUAAAAAUAUAUGUAACUUUUUCUGUAUACAUACAAGCGUUUUUGUAGAUAUGUUUCCAUUUAUAACAAAUAGAUAAUAUAUAUAUUUUUUAAUUACGUUCAAAUAUUGAAAUAGUAGUUUUCUCAUUUAAACGACACGGUAUCUGUUUGAAAGAAUAUAAUAUAUCAUAAAAAUCUUUGCCUCUGUUGACAUUAAUUAUCAUAUAUAUACAGUCAUGACCACAUAAAACAGAAGAAUUCAUUUGUAACUGCGUGCUAUUCCACGCUAUAUUUUUACCGCUACUUAAUAAAUAUUUUUUAAUUUUUUCUGGUGGAGAUAUUCCAAAACUGUCAAAAUAUAAAAUAUUUCUUAAAUAUGGUUUGUUUAUGUAACAUACCCAGUGUGAGCCAUAACAAUUAGAGGGAUGAAAAUUAAUUAUACCUGAUUCAUCUUUUCUAAUUUUUUUUGGUAACAUGUCAAUUGCAAAAACGCCUCGAAAAUUUCGCGUAGCUUCAUGAGGCAAACCCGAAUUUUUCAUAAUAUCAGAUAUUUCUAUAUUACUUAACCCCGAUUUCCUAUCAAUUUUAUUCCUUGUCCAUAUGUCUUCGUCUUCGUCUUUGACUCUGAG